rnacentral:tRNA from 1 species
GCCUUCGUGGUGUAAUGGUCAGCACACUGAGCCGGUAAUUCAGAGGGCCGUGGUUCGAUCCCCGGCGAAGGCA